GCUUUGCCAUAUAUCUUUGAAAACGAUGUAUACCUUAUUCCGUAAGGCGCCCACAGAACCUUCGAAAGAAUACCGCAAGACGUUGGCUUGAAGCUACAAACGUCAUAUAGACCUGAGUGUUUUGCAGUUGUUAUCAUUUGUCUUGAAGAACACAACUGCCUUAGUUCUGCUAAAUUAAGGACUCUAACGAUCUUUUGAUUUGUAGAAACGAGAGAUGUGCGUUUGAAAAGUAGCAACAUCUAUACAAGUAAUCUCUUGAUUACCAGGUGAAUAUUUUUCCGCUACGUCUGGCAUCUUAAAUGGUUUGAGUUUUACGUCCGGUAUCGUAUGAGGCGUUCCACCGAACGGUUGAUUCCCGGAACAAAGUGUGUCCACAAGUUUAGCAGGCGAAUACGCUACCUACUGCAUAAUCACCGAGACAGAUCUGGAUAUCAGAAUCUACUUGAAAUAAAUUCUUUUGAGUGCCUUAAGAUAGGCGAAAUAAAUAGGAUCAUCUUACGAAGCUCGCAUUGUGUUUUGUUUGGCUCACAAUGACGACACACGAACUGAUCGCAGACUAUUGUCACUCGCAAGUUUCCGCAUGUAAUAAGAAGAGAAAAUCGUUCCGUCAGUUCUACCAAAAAAUUGACGCCAUUUAGCACGCGUAUUCAUCACGAACGAAGCUGUCCCGCUCGGCAACGUCUCCAAGGGAGCCCGUCUGCUCCAUCGCUUGUCGUGUCACGGCCCGUCGUG